AGCAGCCGCGGUAAUUCCAGCUCCAAUAGCGUAUAUUAAAGUUGUUGCAGUUAAAAAGCUCGUAGUUGAAUUUCGGGAUCAAGGGAUCGGUCAUGCCUUGGUAUGUACUGGUUUUAUUGGUUCUCACCUUCUAAAGAACCAUAAUGUCAUUUAUUUGAUGUUAUGGGGAAUUAGGACUGUUACCUUGAAAAAAUUAGAGUGUUUAAAGCAAGCUUACGCUUGAAUACAUUAGCAUGGAAUAAUGAAAUAGGACAUCAGAUUCUAUUUUGUUGGUUCUAUUUUGUUGGUUUCUAGGAUCGAUGUAAUGAUUAAUAGGGAUAGUUGGGGGCAUUAGUAUUCAAUUGUCAGAGGUGAAAUUCUUGGAUUUAUUGAAGACUAACUACUGCGAAAGCAUUUGCCAAGGAUGUUUUCAUUAAUCAAGAACGAAAGUUAGGGGAUCGAAGACGAUCAGAUACCGUCGUAGUCUUAACCAUAAACUAUGCCGACUAGGGAUCGGAUGAUGUUAAUUUUUUAAUGACUCAUUCGGCACCUUACG
rnacentral:rRNA from 1 species